rnacentral:rRNA from 1 species
AUUGAACGCUGGCGGCAUGCCUUACACAUGCAAGUCGAACGGCAGCACGGGUGCUUGCACCUGGUGGCGAGUGGCGAACGGGUGAGUAAUACAUCGGAACGUACCUUAUCGUGGGGGAUAACGCAGCGAAAGUUGCGCUAAUACCGCAUACGCCCUGAGGGGGAAAGCGGGGGACCGUAAGGCCUCGCGCGAUUAGAGCGGCCGAUGUCUGAUUAGCUUGUUGGUGAGGUAAAAGCUCACCAAGGCGAUGAUCAGUAGCUGGUCUGAGAGGACGAUCAGCCAAACUGGGACUGAGACACGGCCCAGACUCCUACGGGAGGCAGCAGUGGGGAAUGUUGGACAAUGGGGGCAACCCUGAUCCAGCAAUGCCGCGUGAGUGAAGAAGGCCUUCGGGUUGUAAAGCUCUUUUGUCAGGGAAGAAACAGCAGCUCUAACACAGUCUGCGAAUGACGGUACCUGAAGAAUAAGCACCGGCUAACUACGUGCCAGCAGCCGCCGCGG